AGGCGGGUCCUGUCGUCGCCAUGAUGGAGAAGGGCAGGAGACUGCUGACGCCGGCGCCGCCAUCUUGAGUGCGGGCCACACGUCGGGGACGAUUACUGUGAGAUAGCUGACCCAGAGUGUCGUCUGCUCAGGCCCUGUGGAGUGUGGCCUUCAUGUGUACUCACUUCCCUGCGCCUCUUCCGGCCUCACCUGCUGGGGCACGUUAGCUCAGGGGAGAUGGAUGUCCAAAGCCAGCCGAGAGACCUGGACCUUCCUUAACAUCUCGGGGCACAUCCACCACAUGCCAAUCUAUGGCAAAGCAAGAGAGAAGACCCAGCUUGCAGCCCCCACUACGUCCUAGUUCAGGUGUCUGUCUCCUUGGUCGAAUCACUUAGCUUUCUGAGCCUGAGUUUCGUUUUGCGUAAGAUGAAACAAGAGCAGCCGCCGGGGGACAAGGGAUUAAACGAAAUACAAGUGUUGGUUUCUCAUCUCGGUGCAAGCAGAUUUAUCUGGCUCCUCGGUUGACAAAAUCAUCUCCUCAAGAAACAUGGGAUCCAGGGUCUGCUGGAGGAGACCCCCUUUCUGUUGUUAUCAUGUCCUUCAGAUGAGUAGAGGGUGCAGAGUGAGAAAAAGGAGAAGAGGAAUCAUGCCUUGAUGCAUUGUGCCUCCAGACAACCUCCACCACACCACCGUGAACACUCAGUACCUGAAGGUUAAGUCUGGGGUUUUCACCAGCCUGAAAUGGCAGUGAUCACAAAGAGGAAGAUAGGACACCGGCUCAAGGCCGCAUUGACAGGGCUGGACGCUACUCCUCCCCAGCUUGCCCUUCGCCAGAGGAGAAACCCCACGAUAGCUGGAAUCAUCACUGGCCGUGCGGCCUGCAGAUCCACCACUGGUAGCCCCCCAGUGGACCCUCCUACAGAGGUAUUUCAACUCACAUAAGGCAUCACACUGACCCUUUGAGGCCAAGGUUGGAACAGAACAACACCCGAUGUUCGUGUGAACUAUUCCUAACAGAUGGGCCAGCUGGAGAGAUCAAAAUGCUGGACACAAUUUUAGCAACAUGGAAUCUUGAGGUAAAUGAAGGGUCACGGUUACCUCCACCCCAAGCAGAAUGACCAUAGAUAUGGGCUGUGGUAGGCAGAAUUCUAAAGAUCACGCAAAUAUAUUAGCGUCCUGAGUACUCAUUCAAACACCGUUAUAGGUCCUGCCUUGAAGGCAUUUUACAGGUGUCAUUAAAACAUCAAGCGCCAAGUUGGCGAACCUUUAAGACAGAAACCCAGCGAGUCAUGUGAGCCCUUUACAAGCAGAAUUUUUCUCCAGCUGGGAACCGAAGUCAGGUUUUUGAAGCACAGGAAGUAUUCCAUCAAGCAUCACUGCUGGCCUGAAAAUGGAGGGGGACACAACAAGGGAGGCUGGGGCUUGCAGAAGUGGCCAGCAGCCCCUUGCUGGCAGCUAGCAAGUAAACAGGGACCUCGGUUCAGCUGGUGGAAGACACUGGAUUCUGCUAACGACAGGAAUGAGCUUGAGAGAGCACUCCGUGCUCCAGGGAACUGCCAGACAGGUCAAAUAGUGACAGUUCUCUGGGGAGAGACUCUUGGAAACCUCCAAACUUUUUCAGCCCCUUUGAGUGGAGAUCUUUCUUUUUUCUUUAUGCUUCAACAGACUCUCCACUCCAAUCCAGGAAGAGAAAGCCUUAGGUAAGAAUCUUUUUUGUGUUUUAGGAAUAUUUUUCCAUGAUGCUUGCUUUCAAAGUGGCAAGCAGUUGUUUUGUUUAUUCAUUCAGCAAACAUGUAUUGUGCAGUGGCCAGGGUGACCACCUGUGCCACUUUACCUAGGACGUUCCAUUUUGUAGCACUGAUCAUGCUUCAUUCCAGAAAAUAACCAGUCACUGGAAAACUGAAAUGGGGUUUUAAACCCUACAAUCGUUCAGGCCUGUGGUCUAGGGCAGGGGUCAGGAAACUCCUUCCAUAAAGGGCCACACAGAGGGAUUUUAGGCUCUGCAGUCCAGAUGGUCUCCCUUGCAGCUAUUCAGCUUGGUGUUUGUAACACAAAAACAGCCCUAGACAAUGUGUAAACAAAAGGCAUGGCUAUGUUUUGAUAAAACUUUAUUUUAAAAAUAGAUGGUGAUACAAGAGGAUCUACAGAUGGCCAAUAAACAGAGGAAAAAUUACACAACAUCACUAUCCAUCAGGGAAAUAAAAAAAAUCAAAUACACAUCAAAGCCACAGUGAGAGGUCACUUCCCACCCCCUAGGAUGGCUACAGUCAAAGAGACAGACAAUAGCAGGUGCGGGCAAGGGGGUGGAGCCACUUUGGAAACUAGUUCCGUAGCAAAUCGUGUUGUCAAGCAUAAAGUUACCAUUGGACUCGGCAAUGCCAACUCUAGGUAUGUAUCCGAGAGAAGUGAAAACCUGUGUCCACAGAAAACUUGUGCACAAAUAUCAAUAGCAGCCCAAGACAGGAAUUGCUGAGUCAGAUGGUAUGGUUCCUUCCGCGGCCUAGGGUCGUCUCCUCUCACUCAGGUGCAGGCUAGCGCCCAGCCAGAAACACGAAGAUACUCUCUGGGGCUCUGCUCACUUACUUCCCUCCUCUCCAAAUUACCGCCACGUCGGCACGUCCAAAUUCCUGUCCCUGGAGGUACCUGGGAGGCUCAGUCAGUUAAGCGUCCAACUUCCGCUCAGGUCAUCAUCUCAUAGUUCGUGAGUUCGAGCCCCGUGUCUGGCUCUGUACUGACAGCUUGGAACCUGGAGCCUGCUUCAGAUUCCAUGCCUCCCUCUCUCUGCCCCUCUCCCUGCUUGUGCACACGAGCUCUCUCUAAGAAUAAAUAAACAUUAAAAAAAAAAUUCCUGUCCCCGUGUCCAGCGCUCAGAAAGACCAUCAGGCUGUGUCUGGAUGCCUCAUUCCUUUCCCCUAUUCUCAGAGACCACAGACCAGUGCUGCCCUCUUGGCCCAGGGUCAUACAUCAUUAAAUCAUACAUUCUACCUGCUUUUUUUCCGUUGCUUGUGGUGGGAGGGAUCAGUUCAGUCUGUUAUCCCAUCCUGACUGGAAGGGGGAGUUCUGUUUUGCCUGCUCUUGCACUUUGUAGAAAUGGAUGCAUACAGCAGGCACUCUCUUGUCUCCGGCUUCUUUUGUUCAGCAUCCUGUUGGCGAGCACUAGCCGUCUUGGUGCAGGUGGCAUUCGCUGCUUCAUUUUCGUGACUGUUUUUGUAUUUACACAUAUUUAUUGAUUCCUUGCCAUGUGUGCCAGGAACCGUGCCAAGUUCUAAGGACACAAGUCUCAUCACGAGAAAUACAGUUCCCGCUCUCGGGAAGCGUAUAAUCUUGCACGGGAUCCAACAAACCAUCGCUCAGCAGCAAACCCAGCCCGCUGCCUGUUAAAUAAAAUUGUACCAGACACAAUCGUACCCAUUCAUUUAUACAUUUUCUAGGGCUGCCUUCCUGCUACGGUGACAAGAGCUGAGUCCUUGUGAGGGAAACCACAUGCUAGCCCACAACGCCAAAGAUGUUUACUAGCUGGCGCUUUCUAUAGAAAAAAUGUGCUGAGCCCUUGUCUAGUGGAUAAUACUAGUAUCUUCUUACUAUAACACACUACAGACAUGGACACCGAGGCUCAGAGAGGCUAAACGACCUACUUGACCUUACCCAGGUCUGUCCAGAGACGUGCUCGUAAGUGUUUAACAACUGGCUCUCCAAAAAAAACAAAAAGAGCUAUGUAUAUUAUACGUUGUACUUUCAUCAUAAAUUGUAAGAGUCAGGGAGCCUGGGUGACUCAGUGAAGCAUCCAACUCUUGAUUUCAGAUCAGGUCAUAAUCUCACGGUUUGUGAGUUGGAGUCCCGCGUCAGGCUCUGCACUGACAGUGCAGACAAAGCCUGCUUGGGAUUCUCUCCCUCCUCUCUCUCUCUCUCUCUCUGCCAUGAACACAGCCCGCUCUUAAGUUUAAUCUUGAUUAUUAGCAUUUACCUCAUCACUUUUUAAGUCCAGACCAGAGAUCAGCAAACUUUUGUUAAAGGGACACACGGUAAAUAUUUUAAGCUUGGUGAGCUGUAUGCUUUCUCUUGCAACUACUCAACUCUGCCAUUGUCUCCUGGAAGUAGCCAUACAGACAAUAUGCAUAUUAAAUGGAUGGGCCUGGGGGCACCUGGGUGUCUCCAUCGGUUAAGCAUCUGACUUUGGCUCAGUCACUAUCUCACAGUUCGUGGGUUCGAGCCCUGUGUCGGGCUCUGGGCUGACAGCUCUGAGUCUGGAGGCUGCUUCAGAUUCUGUGUCUCCCUCUCUCUCUGCCCUUCCCCCACUCGCACUCUGCCUUUAUCAAAAAAAUAAAUAAACAUUAAAACUAAAUGGAUGGGUCUGUAUUCCACUAAGACCUAAUUUACAAAAACAGAUUGAAGGCCCACAGGCCAUAGUUCGCCAGCCUCUGGGUCUAGACAACCAAGAAUAUAAAUAAAAGACCUGACUUAAUUUUUUUUAUUGGGGGAGGGGCAGGGGCAGAGGGAGAGAGACAAAAUCUUAAGCAGGCUCCCCACUCAGCACAGAACCGAAUGUGGGGCUCACUCCCACGACCGUGGGAUCAUGACCCAAACCAAAAUCACGAGUCGGAUGUUCAACUGACUGAGCCACUCAGGUGCCCCAGAAGACCUGAUUUAUACUAUUUGCUAAUCCCACCAGAAUUUCAAGCUACUAAUAUGACAUCAGUGAAUGGGAAAUUAGGAAGACACGCACAUUCACCUGUUGGGAUGAGCACUGGGUGUUGUAUGGAAAGCAAUGUGACAACAAAUUUCAUAUUAAAAAAAAAAAUGAAGACAUGCACAGUGGGAGAACAGCGUCUCCCACUUAAUAAAAGGAGAGAGAUUCAUGAAGUACUGAAAACAUAGUACUUAAGAUAGGAGAUCCGUGGAAUAUAUGAGGCAUUUUAAUGCUCUGUCUUCCUGCAUCAUUACUAAGGCUCUUUGGUCUGGCCAUUUUCUCUGAAAAGAAGUUAUAAGGCAAAGGAAAAUUUCAUAUUCUACAUCAGACUAAUGUUUUGGUUGUAGAAUACCAAUUAACAUUUUAAGUGGUUGAAGCUAUUGUAUUUUCUUAUGAAAUGAUGAUUCUUUAAUAGAAUGGCCUCAGUAGAUUUCAAACAUGCAAGGAAAGCGAGUUUCUAAAAGCCACGUGAACAAGCUUUCCUCCAGCACCUGAUUUUUUUGCUGGGAUAUAAAGGGAAUGAUUGGGGGCUGCCUGGGUGGCUCAGUUGGUUGAGUGUCCAACUUCAGCUCAGGUCAUGAUCUCGCAGUCUGUGGGUUCGAGCCCCGCGUCGGGCUCUGUGCUGACAGCUCAGAGCCUGGAGCCGCUUCAGAUUCUGUGUCUCCCUCUCGCUCUGCCCCUCCCCCACUUGCGCCCUCUGUCUCCCAAAUAUAAACAUUAAAAAUAUUUAACAUACAAAUAAAAAAAAAUAAAGGGAAUGAUUGGUUCUCAACAAUAAGGCACAAGUAUUGCUCUAAUUAAUUUACCUCAGGUUCUACUGAAAUUCAGGGACAGCUAAAAUAACCAGACCAAGUGUCCUCAAUAAUUCAACAAUACAGUUUAUUUUAAAGUUCUAGUCUUACAUACAUAGAUAUUAGAGCCUAUGAUGAUAAUGUGGAUAUAACAUUACUUGACUAGAACUCAUUACUUAUUAACAAGAAUUUGGGGAGCACCUGCUAGAUGCCAGUCACUCCGCAAAGGAAUGUGAAGGGUACAGAGACGAACGACACCCCCCCCCCACCUCCCUCUCCAUUCCCACCUCUACUGCUCUGGUCCAGGCCCUUGGCCAUCUCGGGAUGAUCAGACCAUUUAACACCACUUCUUACACCCUUCAGCUCACCUGGCACACUACCGGGUCAAUAUGCCUAAAAUACAGCUUCUGGGAUACCACUUUCAUGUUCAAAAACCACAAACUCCUUCCCUUAGCAUUCAAGGUCCUCAACAGUUAAGUACCUUUUCCACCUUGUCUCCCCCUGCACACAUUUUGACUUCAACUAUUCUUUGCCACGGAAAUUUAUCUUUGCAAUCGGAACCACCGCCCUUUUGCACAUGCUGUUCUCCUUGCCUGGAAUAUUCUGCAACAAAGAAUCCUCCCCGUCCUUCUGAGUCCAAGCUUUAAUCAGGCUUUUCAUCUUGCCCCCCUGUCCAUGAGGAUCUCUCUAGCUUCUGACUUCCUUACAUUUGAUCCUUACUGCAUGCAAUCUUUUCCCCACGUGGUGGGAUCAGUAUGAACUAUCCGCUCUAUCAGCUCUAUUAGAAAGGGCUCUUUAACUUUAAGCAAGGUUUGAACCCGCCUCCCCCGCCCCCCCAAAAAGAUAUUUAUUGAAAGAAUAGUGGGGCAACUUGCAUUACUAAAGGAUUGAACAAUCAAAUGGCAAAGGCAGAGGUGCAGCUGGAAGUCAAGAGCAACGGAAACUGAGCACUUCCUGGACUCUGUGUCUUGCCUCUACUUCUCCUGGGUAGACUGUUUCUUCUCAAAGUGGAGGACUUCUCCUCUGUGGCAGGAAAUGGGGCAUCCGCCAGUUGCUGAAUGUCCCAUUGAAUAAUGCCUUCUUCCCCUGGACUAGAAAGUUUAUUUUUUAUCCUCCAGUUAGCAAGAUACUAGGAAAGGAUUCAAACUGCCUUGACAUAGGCCAGGUACCCAUUCCUGAAUCACUCAGCUGUAGCUAAGGGGUAGUGUCGUUUAGUACAUAUGUAGCUGUGAGAAACCAGCUCCUAUAGAUCCAGGGCUGUUCCCAGAGUAAAAUAUUAAGGAACAAGACAAUACUACUAAAAGGUGUCUCGUACCCUCCACACCUUGACUUUCCAGUGUUGACUGCUGUGAGUAUGCGUGCUUAUCCGCACACACACACACACACACACACACACACAUACACACACACAGUUUUCAGGGGACCUGAGUGCCAUAGUCCUAAAUGAGGGUCUCACUGAAGUUAACACAGACAUGUCCUCUGGAAUCGAGGUAGUUAUCAGGAUGUCCCUCAAUGCCCCAGGACCGUGACCUGUGAUGCCAUUUGUCAGUUUCUUCAAACCUAGCACUCUGGAGUAAGGCUUUUAGAUUCCUUAAAAGCAGAGCCACUACCGCACUCCUGUUCUCUUGGCCUCUGAACCCCUACUCCUACAGGACUUCAGGUCUUACCCAGUGAGCCAAACUGGGGUGUGGUCUCUAGCACCAUACUAUUCAGAGCUGCUAGAUAUGCUCCAUUGUAUCUCCAGAUCCACUCUCCAAGCUGCUCUGUGCCUUGCAAAGCUAACGUGGGUAGAUCACGUGCAAGGGUUAACUUUCCCUAACUCUAGCUUCUGGCUAGAGUAUAGCUACUACGGAGUCCCUGCAGGAGAUACAAGGUAGAAGAAGCAGAGUGAAGUCAGUGCAUUUAUCCCCCCAGUUUCCUCCCUUGGGGUUGCCAUGGGCUGACUGCCUCUGCUAACUGAAGAUCACUGUUCUUCUCUGUCCACAUGGCCUCUCUCUCUCCACACUCCCUUAACCACUCGGAGUUCUGUUCUCUACCUCCCAAGUCUUGUCUUGGGUCAUGACAUGUAACAAAGCUAGGAUACUAUUAGUAGCUUUUGGGCAUUCAGCUCAAGACAGUAGGACUCUUUGAGAAUAAUUCACUGGGAUUAGGAAAUGGGACUUUCAUGCUGUCGAUACGGAAGGGCUGCUUGCCUCACUUCUCUACCCAAAGGAUAUGAAGAUCUUACUGCUUGCUCCUCACUCACUCACUGUCACCACUUUGUUCUCUUUGAGGAGAAUAUUACAGGACUGACUAGACAGUGGCUUAGGAGGCUCCUGGGAUCCUGAGGUAUGAUCCUGGGACCAAGGAAAUCAAUAGAGGAGUACUGGCUACAAGCAGGGAUCAAGACAAGGGAUAGGUUCCCAGUACACUGUAAGAGAACCGAACGUAAGUGACUGCCCACAAGACCUAGGACAUAGGACUUGGGGCCACGGAAAAGCCUGGAAUGAAUUGCAUAAAACAGGAACCACUCACAAAUCCUCCCUCCCACCGUGGACCAGCAAUGGACUCAAGAAUGACACUCAAACCUGAAGUAAAGAACUCCCAAAUAUUCUUCUGGAAUCUGAAGUAUGUAUAACCUGCUGGGAGCUAAGAUUGUUUAAUAAUGUAGUGUCCCAGUCCCUUAUGAAGGAACUAGUCCUCUGUUACAUUAUGUUGAGUCCAGGGUCAAGGGAUCAUUUCCCAGAGCCGUAGCUGUUGGUCUUCUACGACCAGGCAGCCCUCCAUGAUUACCCUGUCCAGUCACCUGGGUCACUAAAAUAAAUGGAUAAUAGACAGAUAGAUAAAAGGGCUUUUAAAAACCAAUCUUUUUGAGUUAGGUUUCAUUUCAAAGAAAUGCUACUGGAGCAUAACAAUAAGACAGAUUGAAGCAGUUGCAUUUUUUUUCCGUAAGGACCACUGUCCCGGAGGGAAUAGAAUAGAAAAUUAGCAAUAAACAGGCCAGCUGCAGGCGUGGCACUCUCUUGAAAGCUAGAACGAUAUAUAUUCCUUUGCUCUUAUUGCUGUGACAGAUGAUCACCAAUUUAGUGUCUUGAAGCAACACAAAUCUGUUAUGUCCCCGUUCUGUAGAUAAGAUGGGCUCGGUCGGCACCUCUGCUCUCGGGUCUCAAGACCCAAAUCAAAGUGUCGGCCAGCUUCAGCAAUUCAGUGAGAGCUUCAGAAAAGAAGGUGCUUGCAGACCUGUUCAGGUUGUUGGCAGAAUUCAGUUAUUUCUGGCUGUAGGACUGGGGUAUCAUUGGUGACUGUCAGCAGGAGGCGUCUCUCAGCUUCUAGAGCCUUGAUCACGGUUCUCUUUACCUUUAAAGCGAACAACGGUGAGUAACAUGCUUCUUGUGCUUCAAAUCCCUCUGUCUUCUUUGGUCACAUUCUUUUGUCUCCAGCUGGAGAAAGUUCACUGCUUUUAAAGGCUUGUGUGAUUACAGCAGCCCCACCUAAAUAAUCCAGAAUAAUCUCCUUACCAUAAGGUCUGUAACCUAAACUACAUCUGUAAAAUCCCUUUUGCCAUGUAGUGUAACAUAUUCACCGUUUCUAAGGAUUAGCAUGUGGACAUCUUUGGUAGUCAUUUUCCUUACCACAGAAGGCCCUGAAGCUAGGUCAUGGCCAAGUGCAGAGAGGGAAACAGUUUACACCAAGACAGAUGCCAUGUUCACAUUGGAAUUUUUUUUUUUUUUUUUAGUUAUCUUGUUUAAUCCAACAUACUUGGAAAAUGCUAUGAAAAUACAUGUUAAUUUCAAUAUGCUUUUCUGAUUACAUAUAUGUGAUAUUCAUAGGAUACAUAUAUGGUCAAAACCUUGGUGUUGCAUAUUUAGCUCACUCAAUUUAUGAAAAAUAACGGCCACAUAACCUAGUUAGCAAAACCAGUCCUCCUUAUCAAGUUAAUCGAAUCAGACUGCCAGGAGAAGACAACAAUUCUGACUUAAUUUUUCAUCCAAAUAAAUGCAUUAAUGUACACAAUCUGCUGAAAAAGACACAAAUCGCAAUGGUAAGCUUACACUACUGUAGGAUGAACUAUUAAAGGUUGUCAAGAUUAUAAUUAUGCAGAUCUAAUGUCAUUGGUUUAUGGAUUUUUAUAAGUGAUAAAGUCAAGCAUAAAUCGAUUUGCUGUUUGUCAUUAACUCAUAACAGUUCAAAAUUUAAUGUAUAGUUAAAAAUAAGAAGCUCUUUGUGAAGGGAGCCCAGGGGAAAAAGCAAGAGGGUAUGCAUAUGUAUACUAUACGCAGAUAUUUGGCGUUGGGGAAUGUCAUGGAGGGAAUUACCUUGACAUAAUGGUAGUUUCCAACUACCUCUCAACUAGCUCUCAGGCAAGCUGUCUCAAAGGUCACAGAACAGAAAGGUUCACAUUAAACCUUAAAAAUCACAUUAAAGAUUCAAAUUAAAAUACUUGAAUCCCACAAAGCUGUGAUUUGAUCAACUUGAAGCACAAGGAGAAGCAAGAAAAAGACAUGGGGUAGGCUAACACACUUAGCAUGGGGUACAAGCAGAUGGACCAAAGCAACUUCUCCGUCGGGCACCUUGGACAUAGUACUUAAGGGCCCCCAACACUUUUGGGGCCCACAAAACUGUUGUAACUUCUUUUAAAAUCAGAAGAAGAAGAAAAGAGUAUAAUCCAGCCUGGAUUACAUUAGUCUUUCUUCCAAUGCUGUAGGAAAAUAUAAUUUUAAUAUUUCUUGAUGCAGGAAGGGGCCCAGGAAGAAAGGCUCAAGUGUCCUGCAGCCCAGGAUGGGGAAACAACACUACCUAAAUCUUGGGUCGCACAACAUUUACAUCUUGUCUUUCCUGCAUCAGUAUCUCCCACUGAAGGUGGGCUUAUGAAAACCAGAGUUGAGGUUUGAACAAGAGGGCUUAGCAGGCAGAAAGUGCCUGGAGCCAACACAAACACCAGCCGAGAGACUCAGAACACAGAUGCCUGGCCACGGCAACAGCCUGGCAGUUAGCCUGCUCAAUAGCUCCGGGUUUUGGCUGAGUUUAUUGGGCAGAGCACAAGUGGGGCCAGAAUAGGACCAUACUGGGAACCUCUGGUGGAUGGCCAGUUUCAAGAUGCCCAGAAGUGGCAUCCUCAUUAUUUAUAAUUUCGUCUUCCUAUGUCUAUGUAUCUGUAAGUAACACACAUUUGUUCUGUCACACAUUCCACUUAUUCCAUCUUCAACACACCUUACAGGUUACUUACUGUCUAUACUUAACACACUUACCAAUUCUGCCUGUGCCUCACAAGCUCUUUGUUUGCCCAUUAUCUAUCCCAAACGUGUCCUAUCAAUUUGGCCCAUAUCUCAUAAACUACUACUAGCUUUCUUGCUUUGCUUUAUACACUUGUGGGUUUUAUCCAUCCCAUUGUU